UACGUAGGGUGCAAGCGUUGUCCGGAAUUAUUGGGCGUAAAGAGCUCGUAGGCGGUUUGUCGCGUCGAAUGUGAAAACCCGGGGCUCAACCCCGGGCCUGCAUUCGAUACGGGCAGACUAGAGUUCGGUAGGGGAGUCUGGAAUUCCUGGUGUAGCGGUGAAAUGCGCAGAUAUCAGGAGGAACACCGGUGGCGAAGGCGGCGACCUGGGCCAAUAUUGACGCUGAGGUGCGAAAGCGUGGGGAGCAAACAGG
rnacentral:rRNA from 1 species